rnacentral:rRNA from 1 species
GACGAACGCUGGCGGCGUGCCUAAUACAUGCAAGUUGAGCGCUGAAGGUUGGUACUUGUACCAACUGGAUGAGCAGCGAACGGGUGAGUAACGCGUGGGGAAUCUGCCUUUGAGCGGGGGACAACAUUUGGAAACGAAUGCUAAUACCGCAUAAAAACUUUAAACACAAGUUUUAAGUUUGAAAGAUGCAAUUGCAUCACUCAAAGAUGAUCCCGCGUUGUAUUAGCUAGUUGGUGAGGUAAAGGCUCACCAAGGCGAUGAUACAUAGCCGACCUGAGAGGGGGAUCGGCCAAAAUGGGACUGGAACACGGCCCAAACCCCUACGGGAGGCAGCAGUAGGGAAUCUUCGGCAAUGGACGAAAGUCUGACCGAGCAACGCCGCGGGAGUGAAGAAGGUUUUCGGAUCGUAAAACUCUGUUGGUAGAGAAGAACGUUGGUGAGAGUGGAAAGCUCAUCAAGUGACGGUAACUACCCAGAAAGGGACGGCUAACUACGUG